GUACUAGGCCUUGAGGGUUUCUAAAGGAGUACUGGAGUUGCUGUAAUGGAAAAUACACACAAUUCAAUGCGAAAUAUAGGCAAGUUUCAGACCGAACGACAAUCAUGCAAAGAAUCUGGAUUGUUUUGUGUAUAUAUUAAAUACGAAAACGUUUAAACGCAACAGGUUUGAACCAACAUAUCAUCUACAUGGGAGCCUUGCGCCCCAUCCCACGGCCAACAGGUGGUCAGCAAACCAACAUCCACCCAACUAGUCUG
rnacentral:lncRNA from 1 species